rnacentral:rRNA from 1 species
GUGGGGAAUCUUGCACAAUGGAGGAAACUCUGAUGCAGCGACGCCGCGUGGACGAUGAAGCCCUUCGGGGUGUAAAGUCCUUUCGACCGGAACGAUAAUGACGGUACCGGUGGAAGAAGCUGCGGCUAACUACGUGCCAGCAGCCGCGGUAAUACGUAGGCAGCAAGCGUUGUUCGGAAUUAUUGGGCGUAAAGAGCUCGUAGGCGGUUUGCCAAGUUUGGUGUGAAAUCUCCCGGCUUAACUGGGAGGGUGCGCCGAAUACUAGCAGGCUAGAGUACGGGAGAGGAAAGCGGAAUUCCUGGUGUAGCGGUGAAAUGCGUAGAUAUCAGGAGGAACACCUGCGGUGUAGACGGCUUUCUGGACCGAAACUGACGCUGAGGAGCGAAAGCGUGGGUAGCAAACAGGAUUAGAUACCCCAGUAGUCC